rnacentral:lncRNA from 1 species
GGAGCCUUUACGCGCUCUCAUGGGCGCUCGAUAACCUCUUUCCGCUGCCGGCGCCGGCGGACGACGCCGGCGAGGUGGUGAUCGUUCACGUUCAACAGCCCUUCCAGAACUACGUCUUCCCCGCUGGGCCAGGUAUUAUGUAUCUGCCCGCAACAGAUCAUCCCCUUCUUCUUCGUCUUCUUCUGCUCCGCUUUGCUAGGGUUUUUUCGAGAUCUGAAUUAACCCGUCCGGAUCCUCUUCAGCAGCUUUGUACGCCACGUCGGCGGUUAUGGACUCGGUGAGGAAAGCGCAGCAACAGAACGCCGAGGCGCUGCUCGCGAAGGUCUCCCACGUCACCUCCGAGAAGCACACUACGGUGAGCAGCUUCUCUCCCGAAAUCCUAUUUAAGAAGGCGAAUCAUCUCGACGAUUUGACUGUGAAGCCUAAAACCUUCGUGAUUAAAAUUGAUCUCGGCUUGAAAGGGAAAAAAAAAAAAGAGGAGUAAAAAUCGAUGGAUUGGAUGAGAUUCUUUGCGUGCGAUUACGUGAGAGCAUCGAGGCUUUCUCUUGGGUUUUGAAAUUACUGGAUUCGAGGAGGAUGAGAAUUCUGAGACCCGAUCUCAAUGGAG